rnacentral:rRNA from 1 species
GACGAACGCUGGCGGCGUGCUUAACACAUGCAAGUCGAACGGAAAGGCCCUGCUUUUGUGGGGUGCUCGAGUGGCGAACGGGUGAGUAACACGUGAGUAACCUGCCCUUGACUUUGGGAUAACUUCAGGAAACUGGGGCUAAUACCGCAUAGGAGCUCCUGCUGCAUGGGGGGGGUUGGAAAGUUUCGGCGGUUGGGGAUGGACUCGCGGCUUAUCAGCUUGUUGGUGGGGUAGUGGCUUACCAAGGCUUUGACGGGUAGCCGGCCUGAGAGGGUGACCGGCCACAUUGGGACUGCGAUACGGCCCAGACUCCUACGGGCGGCAGCAGUGGGGAAUAUUGCACAAUGGGCGGAAGCCUGAUGCAGCGACGCCGCGUGCGUGAUGACGGCCUUCGGGUUGUAAACCGCUUUCGCCUGUGACGAAGCGUGAGUGACGGUAAUGGGUAAAGAAGCACCGGCUAACUACGUG